UAUUGACAGUUUUGGUGGGCCCUGUGACUCUUUUACUGGCAUGACAAUAUCAAUUGUGACUACUGCAAAACAUAUUGUUAUGUCUAGUAGUGUCAUCAACUGCAAGUAUAACUCCUUCUUAGUUUUCUAGUAUAUCUAUCUUCACUCUGCUUUCCUGAAUCAAUUUUGUGAAGCUCCAAAAAGUCUUGAUGUGGAUGUGUGUGUACACGACGACACGGAUGACAGUGUGUGUGUAUGACGACACGGAUGACAGUAUGUGUCUGCAGCAUAUCUGUAGGCUGGAUGGACAACUCAGUGGGGAGAAACAGGCUAACAUGCCAAGAACACAAGGCCAGAUGUGUUUGGCGAUGUCCUUGUUAGAAUCAAGGGCGUGCCAGGUGGAUCGGCUUUGGAGAAAGUGGGGAAUUGGGAGAGGAGGAGUUCUACAGAAUGCGGAAGAAGCUGGUUCCACUGGAAAGAUUGUCAAAGGAAGUGACACACAAAAGGGAAAUUUUGCAGAGAAGCAGAAGUGUUGGGGGAAUAAGAGGGAGAGACCCAGAAGAGCGCUCUAACCACCAGUCAGCACAGCCUCGUCUCAGGAUGAAAGGAGGUUUCAGCUGAUGGAGGAAAUGUGAACCCCGCUUAGGAGGAAGGUGCACCUCAGCCAGCAACAGGAGCUGCUUUGGAGCUCAUUAUUCAAAUUUGGCAGAAUGGGAUGGAGGAUAGUCUGGCGAAGGGGCCAGACUCACAGAUGAAAGUGCUGGUGGUCAAGGGAUUGGAGGCGGGAGAAUGUGCUGUGCCUUGGGCAGCAGCCGGGGCUGCAGCCUCCCCGCAGCCAGUCUCCCGGGGCACCCUGCCCGUGGAAACAAUGGUGGCGAGACGCCAAGAGCGGCGCAGCAGACCGGCUCAGGCAGUCUGGCUCUCGCAUGUGCGCUGCGGAGCCUCCUCCCUGAUCUCGACAGGGCUGCAUGUGGCGGGGGGGAGAAAACCCAUGUUAGUACCUUCAUUAAGGCUCCUAGCAUUUCUGCAGCUGAGCAACAUCCCGUGACACGUGCGUACUCCUAAGAUUCGACUUGGAAAUUUAACCUUUGGUGACGGGGGAGAAUGUGGGUCUCUUUAUUGCCGCCCCCAAAACCCCAGGGCUCCAGUGCCAGGGACUGGCAGCUUUCCCAGAGUGCUGGAAUCCUGCCCCCGUCCCCACCCUCAGAAAAGCACAGCUGAGAUUUUAACUAUAUAAUAGCUGGGGUGGCUAAAUUAA